CCUACGGGUGGCAGCAGUGAGGAAUAUUGGUCAAUGGGCGCGAGCCUGAACCAGCCAAGUCGCGUGAGGGAAGACGGUCCUAUGGAUUGUAAACCUCUUUUGUCGGGGAGCAAAAGACGCCACGCGUGGCGUUCCGAGUGUAUCCGAAGAAAAAGCAUCGGCUAACUCCGUGCCAGCAGCCGCGGUAAUACGGAGGAUGCGAGCGUUUUCCGGAUUUAUUGGGUUUAAGGGGUGCGCAGGCGGAAGAUCAAGUCAGCGGUAAAAUUGAGGGGCUCAACCUCUUCGAGCCGUUGAAACUGGUUGUCUUGAGUGAGUGAGAAGUAGGCGGAAUGCGUGGUGUAGCGGUGAAAUGCUUAGAUAUCACGCAGAACUCCGAUUGCGAAGGCAGCAUACCGGCGCUCAACUGACGCUCAUGCACGAAAGUGUGGGUAUCGAACAGGAUUAGAUACCCGUGUAGUC
rnacentral:rRNA from 1 species